AAGCGCUUGCAACCAGACCUGACCGCAGUUGCUCAUCCAGGCUUUUGCCCGGUGCACUCUUCUGCGGCCAGGCCAGCAUCGGUUUGGGCGGGCGUAUAAAGGCCGUGGGAAUGUAGCUCUCUUCGGGGAGUGUUAUAGCCCACAGCAUAAUGCGGCCAGCCUGGACCGAGGACCGCGCUUUGGCUAGGAUGCUGGCGUAAUGGUUGUAAGCGG
rnacentral:rRNA from 1 species